UGGAAAAUGAAUACGUGGAUAUGGCACGAGAUUUGUUUGAAAUUCCGUGAGAUCAACAUUCAAGGCGCCAUCGAAACGUAAUGAAGCAGUGAUUGACGAGACAAUUUGGCCAAUGAGACGAUUCAAAUUCGUAGAGACGUUCCAUGAGGAGGCUAGUGAAUCCGGAGCCGGUGCCACCGCCAAAUGCGUGGAAAAUUAAGAAACCCUGUAGGCCAGUACAUUGAUCGGCUAAUUUUCGGAUACGAUCUAAAACUAAAUCGACUAUUUCCUUGCCAACGGUGUAAUGACCACGGGCGUAAUUAUUGGCUGCGUCCUCCUUGCCGGUGAUCAAUUGCUCUGGAUGGAAUAAUUGUCGAUGUGUCAGUUUAAAAGCACUUCUAAAUUUGCAGCAGGAAGAAUAAUUUCCAGAAUACUAAACAUAUUCGUCAGAAGAUCUUUUUGGACAAAUAUUCGAAUCUCAAAGGAUUUCUUCAAAUUUCUUUCAGAAAUUGAAAAUUUCUCUUUCAAUUAUGUGGGAAAAUUAUUUAGUUUCAGUAUUAAUUUUUUUAGAUUCGUAUUAAUUGUUUCUCAUCAUUUUUUCUAAUUUCUUUAUAAUUUUCUUCUUCCCCAACUUCGUCGACUUCUCUAUUUCCUUUAUUUUUCGGAUUUCUUAUAUUCUUGUUUUGCCUUAAUUUCGUUCUCUUUUUAUUUCUUCAUUUUUUGUUUUGUCAUUGUUAUCUUUGUCAUUUUCAG